rnacentral:rRNA from 1 species
AACGAACGCUGGCGGCAUGCCUAACACAUGCAAGUCGAACGCGACAUUCGGGUCUAGUGGCGCACGGGUGCGUAAGGCGUGGGAACCUGCCCUCAGGUUCGGAAUAACUUCCCGAAAGGGGUGCCAAUACGGGAUAAUGUCUUCGGACCAAAGAUUUAUCGCCUUUGGAUGGGUCCGCGUUGGAUUAGCUAGUUGGUAGCGUAAAAGCCUACCAAGGCGAUGAUCCAUAGCUGGUCUGAGAGGAUGAUCAGCCACACUGGGGGUGAGACACGGCCCAGACUCCUGCGGGAGGCAGCAGUGGGGAACAUUCGACAAUGGGCGAGUGCCUGAUCCAGCAAUACCGCGUGAGUGAUGAAGGCGUUAGGGUUGUAAAGCUCUUUUACCCGGGAUGAUAGUGACAGUACCGGGAGAAUAAGCGCCGGCUAACUCCGUG